rnacentral:rRNA from 1 species
GUAAUGGCGAACGAACAGGGAUCAGCUUGGGUUGGAAACCGGGGCUUCUGCCUUGGAUUGUGGCCUUCAGACAUUCUACCAAUGGCGGCGCGAGCGUAAGCCUCUUGGAACAGAGCGUCUACCUGGGUGAGAAUCCUGUGUUUCGCUUGAUGCCCGCUGUGCACGGUACUUGCUCUCAGAGUCACGCUCCUCGGAAUUGGAGCGUAAAUUGGGUGGUAAAUUUCAUCUAAAGCUAAAUACAAGCUCGAGACCGAUAGCAAACAAGUACCAUGAGGGAAAGAUGAAAAGGACUUUGAAAAGAGAGUUAAAAGUGCUUGAAAUCGCUGAACUGGAAGCGAAUGGAACUAGUGCUCUGGUUGAGAUUGCUGCAAGUGCUUGCGACAUCUGUGCACUGGAACGCAAGUCCUUUGUCUGGUUUGAAGUAAUCGCUUGCAAUGUGUCUCAGCUUGAACAUCAACAUCUAUACAUGCAUGAGGAUGGCCCUUGGCUCACGCUGUCUUGCUGCGGUGAAACUUUUGUGCCUAUGGGGAUUCAGGCGUGUGUGGAGUGUUGACCAAUUAGUUCCAUUCGACCCGUCUUGAAACACGGA